rnacentral:rRNA from 1 species
GACGAACGCUGGCGGUGUGCUUAACACAUGCAAGUGGUGCGACGAACCAGAGCUUGCUCUGGGCCAAAGCCGCGAACGGGUGAGUAACACGUGGGUAAUCUACCCCGAUGACCGGGACAACCCGAGGAAACUCGGGCUAAUACCGGAUGUGGUGCGGAGACAUAAGUCUCUUCACUAAAGGUAGCUUCGGCUUCCGCAUUGGGAGGGGCCCGCGGCCCACUAGCUUGUUGGUGGGGUCAAGGCCUACCAAGGCAACGAUGGGUAGCUGGUCUGAGAGGACGAUCAGCCACACUGGGACUGAGACACGGCCCAGACUCCUACGGGAGGCAGCAGUGGGGAAUCUUGCGCAAUGCGCGAAAGCGUGACGCAGCAACACCGCGUGAGGGAAGAAGGCCUUAGGGUUGUAAACCUCUUUCAGAUGGGACGAAGGUGCUCCGGUGAAUAGCCGAGAGGAUUGACGGUACCGUCAGAAGAAGCUCCGGCUAACUACGUG